GGCACUAUGGCCGAGUGAGCAUUAAGGCGUAGUGAGACUCGAAUGGAAUAAAAAGUUCGGCUAUCUCUUGGGCCUACCCGCGCUGGUUCAAAUCCCGCUGGUGUCG
rnacentral:tRNA from 1 species